GACGAACGCUGGCGGCGUGCUUAACACAUGCAAGUCGAGCGGAGCGGCGAACGGGUGAGUAACGCGUGAGUAACUGCCCCCCUCUCUGGGAUCACAGUUGGAAACGGCUGCUAAUACCGGAUAGUGAGGGAUGUCUCGCGUCCUAUCAUCUUGUGGGUGGUGUAGUGGCCUACCAAGGCGACGACGGGUAGCCGGCCUGAGAGGGCGACCGGCCACAUGGGGCUGAGGUACGACCCAAACUCCUACGGGGGGCAGCAGAGGGGAAUAUUGCACAAUGGGGAAAACCCUGAGGCAGCAAAGCCGCGGGUGGGAUGACGGCCUUCGGGUUGUAAACCGCUUCCAGCCAUGACGCGGUAGUGGCAGAAGAAGCACCGGCUAACUACGUGCCAGCAGCCGCGGUAAUAC
rnacentral:rRNA from 1 species